rnacentral:lncRNA from 1 species
UUCCUCUCCCCGCUUAUCUGAAGCACCCUGUCAUCUUCAACCUCCACUUUCACUUCUUCUUUCUUAAGCCCUGGAACAUCAGCCUUGAACACGUGAGCUUCUGGGGUUUCCUUCCAGUCGAUUCGGGUGUUGACAAAAGCCGAGGUUUCAGAAGAGCGCGUGGAGAGUGAUGAAGAAGGAGAAGAGAAAGGGAAGUCCUUGAAAGGAUCCCAAACGUCAAGAGAGAAUGGAUCAAAGAUGCUGCUGCGACGGUUGCCAAAGAAGCUUGGAAUCAGAGACAUAUUCGGGAAUGGAAUGAAAAUAAGAUUAUAAGUAGUACGAAAAGAGGAAGAGCUAAGAGAGCUGUCUUAGAGUUUCUCUGCUUUGCUUGUCUGGGUAAUUCGGACACCUGAAAUGCAGUUUUUAUGGGGAUCUAUGAGGAUUCUAGUAUUCUCAAGAAUUUUCGGACUUAUCCAAUAAAAGAAACAGUUUGAUUUUCUAGGAUAUUCGGGAAUGCCCAUAUCCUCCAUGGGCCGCUUUAAACGCUGAUGAGUUAAAAACCCGAUGAGAACGAAAAGGACCACUCCACAAACUUGACGUUUACUUAAUAUUUUUUUGUCAAUUAAAAAGUUAUAAAACCACCGCUAAUUAUUCGAAUUUUUUUAAUCAUAGUAACAAUAUUUUUAAUUUUUAAAAAGUUAUAAAAUCACAUAGUAAUUUUUAGAAUACGCCUAAUAAUAAUUUUAAUUUUUAAUAUUUAUAUAUUGUGCUAAUUUAAUUUUAAAUUUAAAAAUUAAACCUUCAAAUUUGAGUAAUUUGAUUUCAUCCAAAUUUGACUUUUUUUUUUUGUUUUUAAUGAUCCUUUCUGACAUUGUCACUAUGUAACAAAUUGACCCAAGUUUUGAAAAUUAUUCAAUUCAAUUGCUUGAAAUUUAAAAAAAAAAUAUUGAGCUUUAAUUUGAUUUAUCAAUGACAGGCAACUCAAACUAAUAAAAAAUGAAUUGAUUAUUAUUAAGAGAUAUCAAGUUUUUGGUCCUUUGAAGCAUAAGAAAAACAAUAUAUUUGACAAUUGUCUAGUUUAGUAAUAAAUGAAUUUUUUUUAAAAUUGUUUUUAUUUUUAAUUUACAAAUUGUGUAUUAAAUUAUAUUUUCUUGUAAAAAAGAUAAAAUUAAGUAUUGUGUACUGUUGCAUUAGGGUAUCAGCUUGCAUUGUUCCAUUAGGUAAUGUGUACUUAAAAUUAAGAUUGAUAAAUCUUUUAAUUUGUCGGUUAUUCUGAUCCAUUAGAGUAUCAGCUUGUACUGUUGCAUGCGCUACAAAUGCAUUUGAGUCAACUAAUACAUGAUUGCUUUUCCAAAAUUGGAUCAUAAGAUCACCCUUAUAAAUAUCUUUACCAUUGAGUAAACUUUUCCAUAACCAAGAAUCGGUACAUUUAGUAUGUAGAUUAUAAAAGGAUUGACGACGGAAAUAUUUCCUUAGAAGUAUUUGUUGGGUUAGAUGCAUAGGGUUGGUAAGUAAUCACCAUGCUUGUUUACUUAGUAAAGCAUCAUUCAAUAUAUAGCUCCAUAUUUCUAAUAACCCACCAUCAGCAACGAGUUUGCAUAGAGUGUUCUAGUUAUACAUAUGUAGUUUUCUUUGAUCCAAUUCAAGACCUCACCAAAAGCAUUUCAAAAUGUGAUAAACCUUAUCCACUAUAUAUUUUGGAGCCCUAAAAUAGGACAAAAGUACAUAUGUAUGGUAGAUAAAAUGAAUUGAAGAAUAAUGAUUUCCAGACUACCAAUUUGGAUUGCACUUUCUUAACAAGACCUUGGAAGAAUAUACAUUAAAUUUGUAGCAGAGCCAUUUCUAUUCCCAGGUAUUUGCUUGGAUGUUCAACUUGUUUAACACCAAGAAUACAUGGCAUCCAUCAUUUCUUUUAUACAUGUCCAGAAUGAUUGAAAAAUAAUCUAAACUUUCUAGGAUAGUUUCGAAUAAUGAAUUGUUAGAAUAUAACGACUCUGUUAGUAUAAGUUGUUAGUUUUUUUAUUCCAAAUCUGUUAUGCUGUUAACAGCAAUUACUAGCAACAACUAGCUCACAAUAUUCUAUAAAUACAUGUGUUGUACUGUAGAUAUUAACAUGGUAUCAGUCGCCUCGAUACUGGAGAUCUGAUAUUCAUUUGCCUCCAUGACUACCAUUGCUUUUGCUAACUCUGCCUCUGUUGAGCACGGCGGUCUGGUGUUCACUGGUGCUCAGAUCAUUCAAUCCUUCCCUCAUCAUGACACUGUUAAAUUGGAUGCUGGAAAUUUCAUUCAGUGGCAGUAACAUAUUCGGCAGAUCAUUAAAGGUUACAAACUAACCGGGUUUUUAGAAGGCACGUUGCCUGCUCCGCCACGUUUUGUGCAGUCGUCGGAGGGAUAUCUCGUUCCAAAUCUGGAUUCCUUGGCGUUCAUUCAACAGGAUCAUUUACUUGCCUCCUUGUUGCUCUCAACUAUUACUUAUUCACUUUUAGCCUCAUUUACCUAUGCUCGAAUGACGUCUGAUGUUUGGAAUACUGCUCUUAUCUCUUCGCAGCAGUUACAAAUGCAAAACUAUCUCGCAUUCGUCACGAUCUACACUCCCUUAAGAGAGGUAACCUCUCCAUCCAAGAAUAUGUAGCAAAAAUUCAAAAUACCUAUGCCUUAAUUGAGGGUCCUUUUGCUUUGGUGGUCUCCAUCCAAGAAUAUGUAGCAACAAGAUCUUUUUUCUUUGGUGGUCUCCGACUUAUAGGGACCUGUGUCAGUUGCCUGUGGACGCAAUUGGUAUUAUGUCUCUUUUAUUGACAUGUGCACUCGUUUUAAUUGGAUUUAUCUUAUUCGUCAAAAGUUUCAAGUGGUGGAUUGCUUUGUUCAGUUUCAGCAAUUAAUCAAAACUCAAUUUGGGAAAAAUAUCAAACAAUUUCAGAGUAAUUGGGGAGGAGAGUUUUGCGCUUUCACGUCCGUAUUGGCGACUCAAGGGAUAAUACAUAGAUUGUCCUGUCCCUAUACAUCCGAAUAGAAUGGGGUGGCUGAACGCAAACACCGACAUAUUGUCGACAUGGGUAUUACACUUUUGGCCCAAGCAAAUUUUUCUAUGGAUUAUUGGGCCUAUGCAUUCUGUUCUGCUGUUCAUCUUAUCAAUCAUCUUCCUACCUCAGUUCUGAAUGGACACUCUCCGUAUAAGGUUCUGCAUGGACAGAUCCCAUAUAUGAUAAUUUACGAGUGUUUGAAUGUUGUUGUUUUCUGUGUCUACAUCACUUUCUAUGCCACAAGUUAAAUUUUCGCUCUCAACCUUGUACAUUUCUGGGAUAUAGUACCCAGCAUAAAGGAUAUCUAUGUCUCACAUCGGAUGGUAAGGUGGUUAUUUCUCGUCAUGUUGUGUUUGAUGAACAUCGUUUUCUAUUUCCUACGUCUUCUACAAGAGGUUCCACAUCUUCGUCCGGUCAAUCUCUCUUAUCGACAUAUGUUCCUAUUGUUCAACCUAUCUGUUCUCAAACCUCAGAAUUCUCAUCCGCUCAACCUUCUGUGAUGCCCUCACCUCCUGGUUUCUGUCCCUCGCCCUCUAACUCUGAAGUUCCUCAGGCUGUUUUAGGCUCUGCCCAUGAACUCUGUUUUGUCUCUUCUUUACCUAAUAAUGAAGGUGUGCCAAAUCCAACCACGAUAGCUUCUAAUAUUCCAGUAUCUUCUACUAUUCCGUCAGCUUCUUUGCCCCUCACGAAUACUCAUCUGAUGGUUACCCAGUCUAAGGCCAGUAUUUUUAAACAUAAGGCUCUGAUUAUUGAAGCUGUUGAACCUCACACGAUUCAGAAAACCUUGUCUAUCACCGAAUGGCAUACUGCUGCUCAGGCUGAGUAUGAUACUCUAAUUCGUAACUCCACCUGGGAGCUCAUUCCGUUACCAAAUAAUUACAAAGUGAUCGAGUGUAAAGGGCUUUUCAAAGUGAAGAAAAAUCCUGAUGGCAUGAUUGCUUCUCGUAAGGCUCGGUUAGUAGCUAAAGGAUGUUCUCAGGAGCCUGGGUGCGAUUUCAAGGAAACAUUUAGUCCGGUGAUAAAAAUUGCUACUAUUCGAAUCAUUCUAUCUAUUGCUGUUUCCAAGGGUUAGCAACUUCGUUAGGUGGAUGUAAAUAAUACCUUUUUAAAUGGUGAUCUUACUGAUGAAGUGUUUAUGCAGCAACCUUCAGGGUAUGUUCAAUAUGGUUUUGAUGGUAAACCUUUGGUCUAUCGUCUGAAGAGACUUUGUAUGGUCUACGUCAGGCUCCGUGUGUUUGGUUUGAUAAAUUGAAGUGUUUUCUCCUUUCUAUUGGUUUUCUUUUAUCCAAGUCUGAUGCAUUUUUGUUUGUUAAAAUUACACCUAAAUCCACUCUUUAUGUUCUUGUGUAUGUGGAUGAUAUUGUCAUUACUGAAAGUGUGCCUACCUGUAUAAAUAACUUUGUUCAGCAAUUGAAUAAGGAGUUCUCACUUAAAGAUAUGAGUGAUCUCCAUUCUGCUGAAGGGUGUCUUCAUCUAUGCCAACGAAAGUACAUUCGCGAUCUGCUAGACAGGAGCUUCAUGACUCAUGCAAAGAGUGUUUAUACUCCAAUAAUUAGUUCAUCUCCUCUAUCCAAGUGUGACGGGGAUCGUCUUAGUGACCCUAAUGAAUACAAAAGCCUUGCGGGUACUUUACAGUAUAUGGUCCUUACUCAACCUGAUAUUGCCUAUGUGGUAAAUCUUAUAUGUCAGUUCAUGCAUACGCCUAUUACUGUUCAUCUGGUACCCUUGAUUAUGGGAUUGCUUUUCGUACUUCUGCUCGACUUUCUUUAGUCGAUUAUGCCGAUGCUAACUAGCGCUAGAUUUUGAUGAUCGUCGCUCUACAAUAGGUUAUUGUGUAUAUUUUGGUCCCACACCAAUCUCUUGGUGUUCCAAGAAGCAACAAGUUAUUUUGCGGUCUAUGGCAGAAGUCGAAUAUCGGAGUCUUGCUACAGUUACUAGUGAUGUUGCUUGAUUGGUCUCGUUACUAAAAGAAUUACAACUUCACUCUACCGAUCCACCUACUAUUUGGUGUGACAACUCUAGUGCUGUCGCAGUAGCUGCCAAUCCUAUCUUACAUUCCAAAUUCAAGCAUGUGGAGUUUGAUCUGUUCUUUGUUCACGAGAAAGUUGCUGAUGGUUUUAUUCUUGUUGGUAAGUUACCUAUGUGUGAUCAGGUUACCGAUAUUCUUACCAAGUCACUCUUUAUUUCAUCCUUUGCUCGGUUUAAAGGUUUUCUUCAGGUCUUGCCUGUCGAGAAGAUAGGUGAAUGUUAGAAUAUAACGACUCUGUUAAUAUAAGUUGUUAGUUUGUUAUUCCAAAUCUGUUAUGCUGUUAACAUCAGUUACUAGCAAUAGCUAGCUCACAAUAUUCUAUAAACACCUGUGUUGUACAGUUCAAGAAGAUAAUACAGAAAUAAUAUAGAAUAGUUUUCAAUACACAAUAUAAUUUUUACUUAGCAUAUUGUAGAUAUUAACAUGAGCUAAUAUUCUUUUGAGAUCACAACAGGAGUGAAUAUUAGCAUUGAAGAAUAAGAAACAAUCUUUUGCAAACAAUAAAUGAGAUAUUGUAUGACAAUCCCGUGCAAUCCAUAAUUUGUUGGUUUGCCUCUGCAUGAAGUAAUAAUAUCGAAAAGCACAUUCUAGCAAAGUAGAAAGAAGUAGAGGGACAAGGGGUCACCUUGGCGUCGUCCUCAAUUUGGUGUAAUUGACUCCGUUGGACAGUCAUUCACAAGUAGUUGAUACGAUAUUGUGCUGACACAUUGGAGAAUGAAUUGCCUCCAUCGUUCACAAUAUUCUGCCCAUACACAAAUGUGUUUUCGUAGGGAGUGAUUAUGUCAUUCAUCAUUGGUUUAAGUAUAUUUGACCAAGACUUUUGCAAAAUUUUAUAAGCCACAUUGCUUAAGCUAAUGAGACAAAAGUCUAUUAUUUUAAAGGGUCUAAAAUUCAAUAGUUCUGAUCAUAUCUGUUUUUUUUAAUAUAAUGUUUAGAUUUACUCAUAGCCCCUCUCUAACCUAUAAGAGGAUAAUGGGUUUCAGCACACUCAAACUCAGGGGCGAAGCCGAAAUAAAUUUUUAGGGGGCUGGAUGAAAUUUUAAUUUUUUAUAGUCUAUAUCUUUAUAAUUUGUAAAGGAUUAAAUCGAAUUUUUAUAAUUUUAAGGGGCUGAAGUGUAAUUUUAUCUUUACUAUUUUAAAAUUUUAAAAAUAAAUUAAGAUCCUAAAUAAAAAUUUUACAUUUUAGGGAGGGUUGGGGACCCUACCAUCCCCCCUAAAUCCGCCUCUGCUAAAACUCACGUCCUCUUGCAUUAACAACAAUGCUUAUACCAAUCAAGCUAAAACUCAAUCGACAAAUUUAUUUUCUUUUUCUUAAUUGUAUUAAUAUAUAAUUGUAUAAAAAAUUUAUUGAGUUAAUAUUUUAAAAUUGUUAAUAUGAUUUUUAUUUUUUAGUUAAUAUAGUUUUUCAAAAAAAAUCACACCAACUCAAUCUAUAAGAAAACAUAAAAAUAUAUUUAUUUUAAAAAAUUACUCUUUUGCCAAUGUUUAAUGCCAGGUGGCCCAGUAAGUUGUUGAACUUGAAAUAUGAAUGGGUCCAAUUUGAUGAAUAAUAUAAACAAGUCCAAAUCAUUCAAGUUGAUUCUCUACCUUUCCUGAAUUAAGACAAAUUCAAGAUGGUAACCAAAAAAAAUAAGAUAAGUUCUUAAAAAUACGGGAUUCCUCUUCAGCAUCUUAUAAAUACCCCCCACCUAUCCUAUUUUGUAACAUCAAGAAAGUAGUAUCAGAUCCUCAAAAUAGUCAGCAACCUUAACACUUACUAAUUUCGUCAUUUGAAGUUUUUCAUCAUCUUUGCUUCGUGGUACAGCAGAAAUGGCAAUGAUCCCAAGUUUCUUUGGUAACCGACGAAGCAGCGUCUUUGAUUCGUUCUCUCUAGAUGUUUGAGAUCCAUUCAAGGACUUAUGUUGGAACUAGAAAACAAAAUGAAUGAAGUUGACAGAAACUUGAGCUUGAAGGCUCAAUGUCUUGCUGAGCAAACUAGCAAAAAACGGCCAAAGAAAUUUGAACAGAAAGUUUAAGCGAGGAUCAAAAUGAAGAAAAAAAUUCUGAAAGAUUUCAUUAAUUUGAAUUGAGGCAUAAUGCCAAUACAUAUACCAGUCAACUAGCUGGUCAAAAUAACCAAAUGUCACCUAAACAUCACCUAACUCCACUAAUAACAUUGUAACUUGAUAAACAUUGCUUGUACACUUUGAAAAGCUGAUUUAUCAGCUCAAACCCCACCUAAUUACAUCAAGUACAUCAACAACUUAGUUCUAAUCUAACUAAGUUUCAAAACAUCAUUUGAAAAUAACAAAAUGAAACAGCAGCAUGAACUUCAGCUGUAACUACAUGGCUCGGGCUGCAUGGUCUGCUCCUUUUCCGCAUGCAGGCCAACUUCAACACUCCUCUUUGGCUUGCAUGCUGCAAACUCCCAUUUUGGUUCUCAAAACCUUGAACAUUGACACACAAAGAGGCUUUGUCAAGAUAUCAGCAAGCUAGUCUUCAGAACUGCAAUGAACUAGUCUGAUUUCUUGAGAUUAUUCCAUUUCCCUAACAAAGUGAAACUUUAUCUUGAAAUGCUUGGUUCUCCCACGAAACACUGGAUUCUUUCCAAUUGCAACAACAGAUUGGUUAUCACAUCUGAUCUCUGUUGCUUCUCUUUGGUGUAGAAUCAAGUCUGGCAUGAUUUUUUUUAGCCAAAUAGCUUGGUUAACAGCUCAUGUAGCUGCCACAUACUCUGCCUCUACUGUCGAUUGAGCAACAAUAGUUUACUGUUUUGAACUCCAACAAAAAUUGUAGAACUAAGGGUAAACAGAUACCCUGAGGUACUUUUCAUGUCAUCUAUCAAUUCAGCCCAAUCAAUAUCUACAUAACCAAUUAGCUUCAUGCUAUCAACCUUGGUGAACAUUUUUCCAAAACUUAGUAUACCUUUGAUGUACUUGAGAACUCUUUUAGCAGCUUGAAAAUGACUUGUAUUGCAACAAUGCAUGAGCCUAGAUAGUAGACUUACAGCAAACAUGAUGACUGGUCUUGUGGCUGUCAAAUACAACAAACAUCCUGCUAGGCUUCUAUAAGUUGACUCAGCUACCCUUUCGAAAUCACCUUGGCUGGUCAGCGUUUCUUUAAUAGCAACUGGUGUGUUGGUCGCUUUACAAAUCAGCAUGGAGAACUUGUUUAGAAUCUUCAAGGAAAAUGCCUUUUGGCUUAGGAAAAUCCCUUGCUAAUUUUGAGACACUUUUAUGCCAAGGAAGUAUGACAUUUCUCCCAAGUCUGACAUAUCAAACAUGCUCUCCAUUUUUCUUUUGAAAUCAGCCAAUAUGCCAUUGUUUCCUCCUGUAACCAGCAAGUCAUCCACAUGCAAUAAGACUAUGAGCUGUAUUUCAACACCUUCCUUCUUCACAUACAAGAUUGGCUCACUGAUGCUUCUCUCAAACCCCAAGCUAGCUAAGUAGCUGUCGAUUCUAUCAUACCAGGCUCUUGGUGCCUAUUUUAAACCAUAUAAGGCUUUCUUCAGCUUGUACACAUUGUCCUCUUUGCCUUUAACUUUGAAACCUUCAGGCUAUUCAACAUAGAUCUCCUCAUCAAGAAAACCAUUAAAGAAGGCAAAUUUUACAUCGAGUUGAUGUAUCUUCUAUUUCUUUUAUGCAGUUAAAGCAACCAAUAGUCUGAUUGUGUCAAGUCUAGCCACUAGUGUAAAUGUCUCAAAGUAGUCAAUGCCAUAAUUUUAACUGAAUCCCUUCACUACCAGCAUUUCCUUCAGCUUGUUCAGAGUUCCAUCAGCAUUGUGCUUGGCUCGAAAUACCCAUUUUACUCCUAUGACCUUUCUGUUGGCUGGCCUUCCAACUAAUUCCCAGGUCAGGUUCUUAUUAAUCAUGUUCAUUUCAUCGAGCAUGGCCUGUUUCCAUCCUAGUUGAACUUUAGCUUCUUCAAAACAAGUUGGUUCUACAGUAGCUACAUCUACUUUUGCAUAAAUUUUAGCCAGUGGUUUGGUUUCCCUGACUGCUCAUCUUCAAAGUCUAUUUCAGGAUCAUCUUGAUCACCUUUAGUGUAAUCUGUCACUAGGUCUUCAGCAGCACAUUGUGGCUCAUUUUUAUUCCAGUUCCAGCUUGAUUUCUCAUAUAAAACUAUAUCUCUACUCAUAAAAGCCCUGUUGGAUGUAGGAUCCAGAAUCCUAUAGCCUUUCUUCACACUACUGUAGCCUACUAAGAUGCCAGGUUGAGCUUUCUUUGCUAGCUUGUCUCUCUUGAUCGCAGGUAUGUGUGUAUAACAAAUGCAGCCAAAGACCUUCAGGUGAGCAAAUGAUGGCUUGAACCCAAACCAAGCCUCAAAUGGUGUUUUUUAAACCAAAGCCUUUGUUGGUAGCCUAUUUUGAAGGUAAACAACAGUGUUAACUACUUUAGCCCAAAAAAUAUUAGGCAGCUUCCUUUCAAACAUCAAGCACCUGACCAUAUCCAUCAAAGUUUGAUUCUUCCUCUCACUGACACCAUUCUGCUGAGGUGUGUAGGUGCUUGUGAGCUGGUAUUUGAUGCCUACUUCAUAACAAAAGCCCUGAAACAUGGUUGAAGUAUACUCGGUGCCAUUAUCAGAUCUUAGUGUCUUGAGCUUGCAACCUGAUUUUGUUUCUACUGCUGCCUUGGAUUUCCAAAAUACUGAAGCCACUUCUGACUUGUACUUUAGGAAGUAAACCCAACAAAACCUUAAGUAAUCAUCAACAAAAAGGAUGAAAUACCUGCUACCAUUCUAGAACUGUGUCUUUAUAGGGCCAUACACAUCAGUGUGGACUAACUGUAGCUUUCUAAGGCUCUCCAAGCCUUAUUCAAAGAAAAUGGCUGUCUAGCUUGUUUUCCUAGUUGACACACUUCACAAACAUCCUCUUUCUCAACUGAUUUUGUGAAGUUUUCAACCAAGUCCCGUUUGGUCAGUUGAACAAAAGACUUGUAGUUAGCAUGGCCUAGCCUUUUUUGCCAUAUCUUAGACUCAUCUAAGAUAGUUCUGUAGGCACUGUCUGAACUUUUAUUCUAAACCACAAUAAAACUUCUGUCAGCCAUGGUCACUGACAUAAGUUUGGAUCCACUUGGAUCACUAAUCAGGCAUUAUAUGUCUUUAAACACUACUGAGUAACCUUUUUCAAGUAGCUGAGCUAUAGUAAGCAGAUGUUUAUCAAUUUCAGGCACAAACAAGACAUUUGAAACAAGUUUGAUACAUAUAGGAGUGUCAAUCAGCACAUCUCCCUUGCAUUCUACUUUAAUAUAGUAUCCAUUGCCCACUUUUACUCUUGUGUUAAAGCUCCUAUCUAUGUUCUUAAAGAUUGCAGCAUUAGGUGUCAUGUGGUUUGUAUAGCUACUGUCUAUCAGCCACCCUUUUGUGGUCUUUCUUCUAGCAGCAGAGCAUGAAACCACAAAGACUUGCUCUUCUUGGUCACAGUCUUCUUCUGCCACUUGAGCUUCAGCUUUAAGCUGUUGAGACUGGUUUUGCCUCUGCUUGCCUUUGUUUCUGCAAACCUUCUCAACAUGGCCUAUCUUUUUACAAAUUUUGCACUACACAUCAGGCUUGAACCAGCAGUUUGCUUCUAAAUGACUAAGCCUACUACAAUAUGGGUAAGAUGGAUAUUUUCUUCUUGCUCUAUCUCUUCUAGGCUUGACUGACCAAGUAUUUUUCCCUUUGUAGCCCGAAGAGCUUGAGAUUGGUUUGCUCUUGGCUUGGAAGACACCUUCUUGAUGUUUUUCCUGUCUACUGGCUUUUCUUUGCUCUUGAACAUAGAAAGCAUUGAUCAGCUCUAUCAAAGAGAUGCUAGACAGAUCUCUUGAUUCUUUAAGGGAUGAGAUUUUGGCUUCAUAUUUUUCAAGUAAGGUUGAAAUAACCUUCUCUACAAUUCUUGCUUCACUGAACUGUUAUCCAAGCAAUCCGAUGUUGUUCACAACAGAAAUGAUCCUAUCUGAAUAUUGCUUCACUAUUUCUUCUUCCUUCAUUUUCAAAUUUUCAAAGUCCCUUAUCAAAUUCAAGAGUUGUUGCUGUCUCGUUCAUUCAGUCCCUUGAAACUCCUUCUUAAGUUUAUCCCAGGCUUGUUUUGGAGACUCACAAGCCAUGAUCCUUGUGAAAACCAUAUCAGACACACUAUUUUGGGUACACUACAUGGCUUUGUAUCUCUUGGCUCUAUCAUCAGAGUGUUGCCUGAUCUGAGCCACUAUGGGAUUGGCUCUCAAGGGUGGUGGUUCAACAUCCGAGUUGACAGCCUCUCACAAGUCAAAUGCCUAUAGGUAGGUCUUCAUUUUCAUUACCCAAAUGUAGUAGCCUUCAGAAUUGAACAUUGGUGGUGGAGCUAGAGAGAAUCUGGAUGAAGACAUGAUUUUUAAGAUUGAAGAAUGACAGGUCCACUAAGAAAAUAAGCUUUUAAUACCAAUUGUUGGAGUUUUUGUAAGAGUAGAGGAAGAAAAAUAGGACACAAGACAAGGCAGCAAAAUACAAUAAAAAAAUUUUACUUGCUCACAAAUGUGCAGCAAGGGAGCUUAUGGCUGAUAGCUCAUUUUUGCUCACUCAUUCAAUAAGAAAACAAUACAUUUAUAGUAAAAUACAUCACCAAACACUACCUAAACAUCACCUAACUCCACUAAUAACCUUGUAACUUGAUAAACAUUGCUUGUACACUUUGAAAAUCUAAUUUAUCAGCUCAAACAUCACCUAAUUAUAUCAAGUACAUUAGCAACUUGGUUCUAAUCUAACUAAGUUACAAAACAUCAAUCGAAAGUAAUAAAAUAAAAUAUCAGCAUGAACUUCAGCUGCAACUGUAUGGCCCGGGCUGCAUGGUCUGCUCCUUGUCCGCAUGCAGGCCAACUUCAACAACUUACCUUUCCCUUCUUCACUUUUCGAACAAAACACUGAUACCUCAGCUUUUUUCAACGCUCAAAUCGACUGGAAGGAGAACCCCAAAGCUCACAUCUUCAAGGCUAAUCUUCUUGGGCUCAAGAAAGAAGAAGUGAAAGUGGAGAUUGAAGAUUGAAGAUGACAGGGUACUUUAAAUCAGUGGACAAAAGAAUGUUGAGAAGGAAGAUAAGAACGAUACUUGGCACUGGGUUGAACGUAGCAGCGGCCAUUUUAUGAUGAGAUUUAGGCUGCCAGAGAAUGUAAAAAUGGAUCAAGUUAAAGCUUCCAUGGAAAUUGAGGUUAUUACUGAUACAGUUCCUAAGGUGGAAGUAAAGAAACUUGAUGUCAAAGCCAUUGAUAUUGUUGGUUAAACACUCGUGUUUGCAGGUCUUAUUAUCAAUAUUGAGAACUGUUUAUAUAAUUUGUCUGUCUACUUGUCUGUAACUUUGGGAAUCGUAAUGUGUUGUAUUAGCCUGACUAAAUGAUAAACAAGGUUUAGUUUGUGUUUGUGCAUGAUUUUGGCUUGUAAUACUACCAUGUUCUCAUGUAUAAUGUGAAAAUGUUGGUAUCAUCAAUGUAAACGUUCCUCGUUUUCUUUCAUUUUUCUGCUUGUGUAUUUUGCUGCUAUAUUCAAAUUGUUUCUUCCAACCAUUACAAGCAUGCUUCUUUUCUAUGACACAACCUUGGCAUGUAAGUUGCGAAGAUGAUACAAUUUCUUGCAUUGGUUUGUCUGUACCAAAAUGUUGCAAGAACUUCCUUAAUUUACGAGAAACUUAACAAGAAAAUCUAUAAUAUUUGAUUCUAAUUCCAUUUCUUACCUAUACUUAGCAAAGAAGAAAGAAAAGUUCAUUUAAAAUCACGAGGAGUGGUGUUGUAAUUACUCAUUUCAUGCCUUAUAAGGUCAAGAGUACGAUUUCCGUCUAUAAGAAAAGACCACAUUUCAUGAUCAAUUUUUAUUUUUUUCGGAAAGUACCCAUUGAGAGAGAAAUAAUCACUACUACUAGUGAUGAAUACCUUGAUUUCAAUAAAAAAAAGUGCAUCUAGGGUCACUAUUUGUACAUUGAAAUAAGUUUUACCUUUGGGUGGCUAACACUACGUAAGCACAUGAUUCGUAGUCUACAUCUCAUUGAACAUAGGCAACUCCUUAAGGAUUUCACUGCUGCCAUAUGUCAGAGCUUAAUAUCAACUGCGAAGCCCCCCUUCACAGGCAUAAUGCUAAGCCUCCUUGGAUUCUUGAUGAUGCUGAAGCAAUGGCACAUCAACUAUAGAUUUCAUUAGGCAUAUAGAUAUAGAAAAAGUUGCUAAAAAGACUAAUAUUGAAUAAUAAAUCUAAAAGAAAUUGUUAGUAUAAGAUCAUUUUUGAACUCUAUCAGAGUUAAAAUUCCUUUCAAUUAAAUAGCUUGCUUUAUGAAAGUAUGAAAUAUAUUCCUUCUAAGGCAUAUCUCUAAAUAAACAAAUCUAGGGAAUGUGACCAGCACUCACAUAUCUGAACCUCACCCAUUUGUGUAUUUGCAACUGCUGGAUCUAGUGCAUUGAUUAGCAUGUGUGGUUGGAACCAACCGACAUUCACUACUUGGUUGACAUUCAUCCAACGAACUGCAUUUACUGCCUUCUUUUUCUCUUUCUUCUCCGAUAAUCAUUUAAUAGAAAUGUAGUUGUUGGUAUAAAAAUUGAUUGUGGCAAUAAGCUAGUAGUUUUUUCUGGAGGAAACCAGAUUCAAGAAAAAAAAUUAGGCAGUUUGCCUUUAUUUUAUGUUAGACUAUAUAGGAAGAUUUGCUGUAAAAAAAAACAAAAGAAACUCACUCAACAACACUUUAUGAAUUGUAUACAAAAAAACUCAAUAAAAAACAAGAACUCAAGGCACUUUUUAUUCACUAAUUUACAUCCUUUAUAUAGGCUGAAACUACAAUAAAUUUAGCUAAAAAUAGGAUAAAUCAGAAGCAAAAUCACAAUCAGAUGUUUAACCAUGAUUUUAGUUAACCAUUCAACAACAUUAUUGAAACUAAUUUGAAUAUUUCAUCUGCUGAUAUGCCCAAGAUUUUAGGCCACUAACUGAGUUGGUGAUAAACUUUAACACUCCCCUUCAACAAAAACUCCAAACCUUUUCGUAAUCCCAAGUUGUCAGCAAAUAUUUUCCAACUUAGUUGUACUCAAGCCUUUCGUGAACAAGUCUGCAACCUAGUUAUCAGUCUUGACAUAGAACAACUUAAUUUCUUCUUGUAACACCUUCUCCCUAACAAAAUGGUAGUGCACCUCCACAUGUUUGGUCCUUGCAUGAAAUACAGGAUUUUCUGCUAAACGCAUAACUGACUGAUUGUCACAAUAGAGGGGUAUUAUAUAAUCAACUUUUUGGUGCAAAUAUUCCACAAGAAAACUAACCAUGUACUUUAUUGGGCUGCCAUAGCUGCUGCGCUAUAUUCUGCCUCUAUUGUCGAUAAGGACACAGUUGGUUGUCUUUUAGUAUACCCAGGAAUUGUCCCCAAGCCAAACUUUAAUACAUAGCCUGUGGUUGAUCGACGUGUAUCGUGAUCCCCUGCAUAGCCAGCAUCACAAUAACCAGCUAGUUUGUAAACCUCACAUUUCUUAUAUAGAAGGCCAUAAUCAAGAGUACCCUUCACAUAUCUUAGAACUCGUCGAAUUGCUUCCAAGUGUUGUUUCUUAGGAUUCUGUAUAUAUUGACUCAUUACCCCAACAAUAUAAGAAAUAUCAGGUCCAGUUAAAGUUAGGUAAAUGAGACUACCUACAAGUUGUUGAUACAUUAACCUAUCUUCCAAGUCUUUCCCUUCAUGAGCACAAAACUUGGUGUUUGGUUUCACUGGUAUAGUGAUGGUCUUGCAAUUGAGCAUUCCAAAUUUCUACAACAAAUCUUUUGCAUAUUUCUCUUGACAAAGAAACAUGCAUUCUUUUGUAUAAUCAAUUUCUAGCCUCAAGAAGUGUUUAAGUUGGCCAAGUUCCUUUAUUUGAAAACAGACUGACAAGUUUUGUCGAACUUGGUGGAUUUCAUCAUUAUCAUCUCCAGUGAUUAUCAAAUUGCCCACAUACACCAACACUAUUGCCAACUUCCCUUCACUAACCUUGACAAACAGACUAGAAUCUGCAUGAGCCAUAACAUAAUCAGUUUGAGUUAAACAUUCAGCAAUCUUACCAUACCAUGCUCCCAGCGAUUGCUUUAACCCAUAUAACGCCUUCUUUAACUUGCAAACAUAACCAGGAUGACUUCCACUCUUAAAUCUAAUAGGCUGAUUCAUGUAAAUUUCACGAUCUAGCUCUCCAUGCAAAAAAGCGUUCUUCACAUCCGUUUGGCACAACUUUCUAUCUUUGCUAGUAGCAAGAGCCAAGAGAACUCGAAUAGUAACAAUGUUUACCACCGGACUAAACGUCUCUUCAUAGUCCAAUCCAUAUUGUUAAAAAUAUCCCCUUGCAACUAACCAAGCCUUGUACCUCUCAACUGAUCUAUCAGGGCGUACUUUAUUUUAUAAACCCAUUUACAAGAUAUGGGUUUCACAUCUAGUGGACGUGGCACAAGCUUCCGUCUGGUUUUGUUCCAAUGCAGCAAUCUCUUCUUCUAUUGCUUUUACCCACUCAGAAUCUUAAGACACUUCUUCAUAAGUUGUUAGCUCGACCAAAGGUUUUUCCUCCGCUACAGCUACAUUAGCAUACUUUAGAUUUUACCUACGAAAUCUGGUUGAUCUUCUAAGUUGUGGUUGCAAAGUUUUUUCACCCUCUAAAUUGAUUUCGGCCUUUUGCCUCUGAUGAACACCAUUUCGCCAAGAAUUUGUUGUUGUCUUAACAACUUCAUUGUCUCCAAUUUCUUUAUUAGCUACAGGACUUGGUUGUAUCUCAAGAAACUGCUCAUCUAUUUUCCCUUGGGGUUGAUCUUCUUUUACUUUAGAAUCUGGCAACUUCACUUGUUGUGGAGUCCACCAAGAAGAAGUUUCAUCAAACACUACAUUGUGUGAUGUAUAGCAUUUCUCAAUCACAGGGUCAAAACACCUCCAUCCUUUCCUUUGGUUAUCAUAUCCAACGAAGAUACAUCGAAUUUCUUUCUUAUCGAACUUGCUCCUUAAAUAACCUAGAAUAAACACAUAGCAAAUACACCCAACAACUCGAAAAUUACCAAUAGCAGGUUUAGUAUCCCAUAGUACCUCAAAGAGUGAUAUGAAACCAAGCUUUAGUGUUGGAAGUUUAUUAAUGACAUGAGCAGCAGUGUUCAUGCAUUCUGCCCAAAAUCUUCCAGGUGUAUUUUUUACAUGAAACAUACUCUGGCACGUCUCAACAAGAUGUUGAUGCUUCCUAUUGGCAAUUCCAUUUUGUUGUGGCAUGUUGGCACAUGUAAAUUGAUGAUGAAUCUUGUUAUUUCUUACAUAGGUAGAAAACUCAUCUGAUGUGUACUCCCCGCCAUUAUCUGUGCGUAAGCAUUGAAUUUUUCUACCAACCUCUGUUUCAGCUACUUCUUUAAAUUCUUUAAACUUGGCAAAUGUCUCUGAUUUUUCUUUCAUAAAAAAAACCCACACGUACCUUGAGAUAUCAUCAAUAAAAGUCACCAUAUAGCACAUCCCAUAAAUUGAAGGUUGCUUGACUCGCCCAAACACAUCAGAAUGAACUAGCUCUAACCGAGCCUUUGCUUUGUACUUAGAUUCUUUAUAUGGUAGCUGAUGCGCCUUACCGAAUUGACAUCCUGUACAAACAGUAUCAUCUCGCACUUCAAGUUGAGGAAGACCCUUUAGUAUUAAGUUUUUCAUCAUAACUUUUAGCUUGUGAUAACUGACGUGUUCAAGCCUUGCGUGCGAAAAAUCUAUCGUCUCAUUCUUCUUUAUUUUGUCCACAUAAGCAGUUUUUGUCGACAUUAUAUAGACAAAUUCCAUUCUCUUCCCUUUCAUGGUUGGUGUUCUUGAGACUUUAACAUUUUCGAAUACCUUUACACCCUGUGGACUAAACAAAACAUGGUGACCUGCAGAUGUUAAUUGUGCAACAGAUAAUAAUUUUUUCUUCAUACAAGGCACAUGAUAAACACUUUGAAUUGACAUUGGAUUAGAACUAAAUCGAGGUGCAAUAGUCGUCUUACCAACAUAGGUGAUAGGUAACCUUGAGUUGUUGGUCGUUACCACCACAUGAUUUUCUUUGUACAUUGCAACAUCUUGAAGCUUUUCUUGAACACCAGUCAUGUGAUUAGAACAACCAGAGUCAACAAUCCAGUCGUUCUUAUAGUCAAUCUUCUAGGAAGUUGUUACUGCGAGUGCCAAGUCUUCUUCUUCCACAGCAAAGGAUGCUUCAGCAUCCCACUUAUCAUCACUCUGAACAUCUCCUUUAGAUGUCACUACAUUACUCUCAACAACUUUCUUCUUGGACCAAUAGUCUUUGGCAAUGUGACCAUUUUUGCUGCAAUUAUAACAAUCACCAUCAAACUCUUCCUCUGGUUGAAUCGGUUGUUGUAGUUGCUACACUUUUGAGUUUCUCCAAAUUGCGAACUCCUAUGAUGACUUUCUGAUUUGCCAUCAUUCUUUCUUGGUCUGCUUCUGACAUCAUACCUGGGUUUUUCUUUGCUCUUUCCACUAAAAAGUGCCACAUCCUCAGUUUUGAUUGAGACUCCACCCAUUUUUUUUUGCCAAAGCCUCUUGACUCGUCAACAGAUUCUCAAAAUUUGCAAGCGAUGGUUGUGUUGGCCAUCCUUGAAUUGCAGCAACAAAACUCCUGUACUCCGGUCUCAAUCCAAAAUGAUGAUCCUUCUUAUUCUAGAAUCCGCAAUACAAGAACUAGAAUCAAGUUCAGAGAUCUCACGACAUAAGGUUUUUACCUUAGUGAAGUACUGGUUGACUGCCAAAUCUUAUUGCUUCAUUUAUAACAAUUCAUUCUCUAAGAGCUGCAGCCUUGUGUCAUUUUUCGUGAGAAAAGUUCUUCCAACAUGUCCCACGCCUGUUUUGGUGUGUCAAUGUCUCUGAUAUGCUCUAACAUUUCUUCUUCUACAGUGGUUUUAAUUGCAAACAUAGCCUUGCCUGCAUUGGCCUUCCACUUCUUCAAGCUGUUAGCUUCUUGAGGCAAUGGUGAAGGCUCAUCUCCGCUAACAAUGUCCCACACAUCUUGAGCCUGCAAGUAAGACUUCAUACAUGUUGUCCAUGUGUUGUAAUUUUGGUUAUUAAGCUUUUUUACUAUUGCUCCAACAACUGAAAAAUCAACCAUGAUUAUCUUCACGAAUUUGGCGCUGAUAUCACACUGUUAGACUACAUGGGAAGAUUUGCUGUAAAAACAAAAGAAACUCGCUCAAUAACACUUUAUGAAUUGUAUAAAAAAAACUUAAUAGAAAACAAGAACUCAAGACACUUUUUAUUCACUGACUUACAUCCUUUAUAUAGGCUGAAACUACAACAAUUUUAGCUAAAAAAUAGAAUAACUCAGAAACAAAAUCACAAUCAAAUAUUAAACCAUGAUUGAAACUAAUUUGAAUAUUUCAUCUGCUAAUAUGCUCAAAAUUUUAGGCCACUAACUGAGUUGGUGGUGAACUUUAACAUUUUAUUCUCACUAUUUCUUCUGUUGAUAUUCUGGAUCAUGUUUCUAUGCGAGUAUUUGAUCUGUUAUAUACACAUCCUGUUGUGAGCGUCACCCUAUCUUUUAUUCAUUUAGAGAUUUAAAUAUUUUCUAAUGGUGCAAAAUGAUACGGUUCAGUUUACGGUGCAAUCGGUUUAUUUGAGUUUUGACGAAUUGUAACAUCAUUCAGAACUGUUGAAGCAACCAAAAGAGAAUCCAUUGUACUGCAAUUGAUUUGUUGACUAAUGGUUCUGUGUCAUAUGGUUAGCAUUCCCAACAAGACAGUUGAGAACGAAAAAUUUAGCAUUCCCAACAAGACAGUUGAGAACGAAAAAUUAGCUACUGAAUUUAAGGCCAUCAUCACCCUGGUUUUUAUCUUCUAUAUAAAAUCACCUUUUUUUUUCUUUGUCGGGAGGAGAUAUAUAGCAGAUGUCAUAUCACGCUUAAAAAAUAGUUGCAAAGGCAAAGCCCCCACUCCAAAUAUAGUUAGCACUGAUAGAAGAUAUUGCCCAUGAACUUAGAGCUUCCCAACCAUCAUGGAAAGUACCUUUUGUCCUGCCACUCUGAUCAUUUCCGUAACUCAAGACUCAAGGAAGAGACAAUGGAGUUAGGGUUAUUUCCUUCGAAGGUAUUUCUGUAUUAAUCUGAUAGUGUAUUUACUGCGACUAUAGACGCCAUGCCUUAGCUUCGACUUAUCCCCUGAGAUUAAGGAUCUGCCUACAAGAUAAUUAAAUAUAAAAAUAAAAUAUAUAUUGCUGCAACUGAUAGCAAGAAAAAAUGAAAUGAGAUCCAUCUUUGGUCGUCAUUUGAAAUACUUUGGUAUGGACUGGACACUUACAAGGGCGGUGUAAAGUUUGUUGUCUGUCCAUGAUGCGGUUCCGAAUGCCGCUAUCGGACAACUAAAAAUAAUAUGGCUUGACAAGCAGAUUACUAGGAGGCAUUGGUUCUAUGAACCAGAACGAGUUCGUAGGGAAGGGCUAAAGGGCUGAUUAACAGCAGACAGCGUUGCUUAGGCCAGUUUCGUAAUUGCCUGAAGUUUCAACGAAAUUGCUUGUUGGGGAUGAGGAGCAAAGGAAGAAAACAGAGAGCACAGAAUAAUGAAGCAAGAUGCAAGAAAUAUUUUUACUUGUUCAUAAAUGUGCAACAAGGAAGCUUAUUGCUGAUAGCUCAUUUUGCUCAUUCAUUCAACUAGAAAAAAUAAUACAUUUAUAGUCAAAAAAAUCACCAAAUACUACCUACUACCACUAAUCACACUUUGAAACAAGUAAAACUUAACUUGCACACAAGCUGAUUAUGUCAAUCAGCACCUAAAAACAUAAAAAAAAAUCCAACUUAGUUCAUUUUAAACUAAGUAACUUAACAAAGUAACUAAACAACCUUGCUGUUACAACAAGCAUACGUGCUGCAGCAUGUUUACAAGCUGCAUGCACUUAACCAAAAAUAUAACAGCAGCAUGGUUGGCCAAUUUUCAACAUUGCUGCAAAUAAGCAUCUUAUUUUUGAAAAUGUACACCUCAAAAAGUAAGUAUUCACAAAUCGCAGUAGAAGUAGAGGGAUUUGGAACCAUUGUUGCUGAAACCCUGAGUAGAAUUUGUGCACGACUUGCAGUGACCAAAAGUGGAAUGCAAGGCUUACAACCGGCAUAUAGAAAGUAGAUAAGAAAUGAAAUCUUGUUUGAUAAAGACAAAAGAUGUAAAAAAGGCCGAAAGAAGGGUUUAUCCUAGGUGAGUUUGAAAUAAAAGAUGGAAUUUUGCACCCAAGGUGUUACCCUUGUACAUUUCAUUGAGUGAAUUGGAGAAAAUGAUUCUUGUCAGGCUAAAUAAACCAUGUCAAACCAUUAGUGAUUGAAAUUCCUUCAACCAUCUACAGAAAGUAGAUAACAAAAGCAGGGAGGAUAAACUCAUUUAGUAACAAUUAUUUUUUACAUUAACAACACAAACUUCAUCAACAACAUAAAGCCAUAGUACCCAUAGCUUUGUUUAUCACACACAAUUGACAAUAGGCACAGAACUCUCAAUCUCAAAGUAAAGGAGACAGGCACUCACAAGUUACAAACAUCUUUAGCUGGAAAUUUCAAUGGACUUUACGUCGGGCUUUUUGACUUCAAGUUUGGGAAUAGUAACAGUAAGCACCCCAUUUUCCAUGGAAGCCUUGAUCUGAUCCAUCUUGGCAUUCUCCGGCAGUCUAAAUCUCCUCAUGAACUUACCACUACUGCGUUCCACCCGAUGCCAUGUGCCGUUCUUUUCUUCCUUCUCUACAUUCCUCUCCCCGCUUAUCUGAAGCACCCUGUCAUCUUCAACCUCCACUUUCACUUCUUCUUUCUUAAGCCCUGGAACAUCAGCCUUGAACACGUGAGCUUUUGGGGUUUCCUUCCAGUCAAUUCGGGUGUUGACAAAAGCCGAGGUUUCAGAAGAGCGCGUGGAGAGUGAUGAAGAAGGAGAAGAGAAAGGGAAGUCCUUGAAAGGAUCCCAAACGUCAAGAGAGAAUGGAUCAAAGAUGCUGCUGCG